rnacentral:rRNA from 1 species
UAGCGAAGGGGGCUAGCGUUGUUCGGAAUUACUGGGCGUAAAGCGCGCGCAGGCGGUCUUCCAAGUCAGUGGUGAAACGCCCGGAGCUCAACUCCGGAACUGCCAUUGAAACUGUUGGACUUGAGUACGAGAGAGGUGAGUGGAAUUCCCAGUGUAGAGGUGAAAUUCGUAGAUAUUGGGAAGAACACCGGUGGCGAAGGCGGCUCACUGGCUCGUAACUGACGCUCAGGCGCGACAGCGUGGGGAUCAAACAGG